GACGAACGCUGGCGGCGUGCUUAACACAUGCAAGUCGAACGCGGAGGCUUGGUGCUUGCACUGGGUGGAUGAAUGGUAAACGGGUGAGUAAUACGUGAGGAACCUGCCCUUUACUCUGGGAUAAGCCUGGGAAACUGGGUCUAAUACUGGAUACGACAUGCCACUACAUGGUGGUGUGUGGUAAGGGGGUUACUGGUUUUGGAUGGGCUCACGGCCUAUCAGCUUGUUGGUGGGGUAAUGGCCUACCAAGGCGACGACGGGUAGCCGGCCUGAGAGGGUGACCGGCCACACUGGGACUGAGACACGGCCCAGACUCAUACGGGAGGCAGCGGUGGGGAAUAUUGCACAAUGGGCGGAAGCCUGAUGCAGCGACGCCGCGUGAGGGAUGACGGCCUUCGGGUUGUAAACCUCUUUCAGCACGGAAGAAGCGAGAGUGACGGUACGUGCAGAAGAAGCGCCGGCUAACUACGUG
rnacentral:rRNA from 1 species